AUGAAAUGCAUCUCAUCCCUUAAUAUACCCAAGAUGGGACAUCAUGUUCCUCCUUCACCUUGGUUUCUUCCUCUGGUCUUUGUGUGGAUUAAGGACACCAUACAACCAUUUAAUCCCAAACUAACCAUCCUUGGCACUCUCAUUUCUCUCACCCACAUAUCCAAGUCAACAGGAAAUUACUUUGGAUAUCCUUCCCCAUUAUCAGAGUUGUUAAAACUUUUCCUGGUCUAUAUCAGCAACUUGCUGGCGAAUCUCUUUUCCCUCUUAAGUCUCACUUUCAUUGCAGUCCCAGAAAAACCUCUUACAAACUGCGGAUUAUCACCAGAUUGGGGCACUGGCUCUUCUGUGUGCAGCAGGCAGAGCAGAGCCUGGAUACCUGGCUGUCCUCGUUCAUGAGAACAAAGGUGCUAACUGUCGGGAAGCAGAGAUCAAGGAGGGCAGUGCCGUUUCAUCAGCCACCAGUAAGGAUGGACUAGAGGCAUCACAUAAACUGAAAAGAGAAAAGAGAGGAUGAAAACAGACACGAGGAGUCUACAGAUGGCUCUGGCCUCGGCAAAGGAUCUGGGGAAGACGCUGGUUCUGUGAACGUGGUGGACUGGCUGCUCAUGUCUGUACAAGAUGAGAACCACGGAUCCACGAGCCGUGAGAUCACGACCUGAGCCGAAGUCGGACGCUUAACCACCUGAGCCACCCGGGCGCCCCUCCAUGUCACUUUAAUAACGUGCUCCAGGUGAUUCUAAGGUGAGGCUGGGAUUGAUCACGAGGGCUCCCAGGUGCGCUUAUGAGAGUUGAGUGCGGGCUUUGGUUUAAGGGGAGGUAACAAGGGUCUGCUCUAGGUGAAUUUGGAAGGAGCAGGUUGGAGCAGCUACCAUCCCCAUGCUGUUGCCAGAGUUGUGGGAGGGGAGGCCACGUGAACACAGGAAAGGAGAGAGUCACGUGCUGAUCUCCAUGUGGGAGCUUAUUAACCCUGGUUCUUACCUGCAACAAAGGUCGGGAGAAGGUCACCUUUUGUUUUUUGUCGUUGUUGUUGCUGUUGUUUACAUAAAUUUCACCUCCAACAUGAGCUCGAACUCAUGACCCCUGAGAUGCAGACUCGUAUGCCCCACCGACUGAGCCAGCCAGGCACUUUUUUGCAGUUCAAGGUCCCUCUGCCUGCGAUGUAGUGGCAGCAGGUGAAGGGGCUGGGCUGGCACAUUUAAGGCAUAGUCUCAAGAUGCACACAUCGCUCCUUCAUAUAAUCUCACUUAAAGAAGAAACCCAGAGAAGGAAGAGAAGGCAACAGGCAAGUGCUCAGGUAAAUGUUGAGUCCCGGGUCAGGUGGUGUCCUUGUCUUCUUCUGAAAUACCAUGGAUUUUUUUUUUUUUUUUACAUUUAUAUUUGAGAGAGAGAGAAAGAG
rnacentral:lncRNA from 1 species